UACGUAGGAUGCAAGCGUUGUCCGGAAUUAUUGGGCGUAAAGGGCUCGUAGGCGGUCUGUCACGUCGAAAGUGAAAACUCAGGGCUCAACCCUGAGCCUGCUUCCGAUACGGGCAGACUAGAGGUAUGCAGGGGAGAAUGGAAUUCCUGGUGUAGCGGUGAAAUGCGCAGAUAUCAGGAGGAACACCGAUGGCGAAGGCAGGUCUCUGGGCUGACACUGACGCUCAUGCACGAAAGCGUGGGGAGCAAACAGG
rnacentral:rRNA from 1 species